CCUUAAGGCCUGGAGUUGGAUACCCCUGCCUUAUGUGAACAGCUGAGACAGGCUUUUUGAAAAACACAGCAUUUCUAUCACUUUCGCCAAAAAAUGGUCCACUCCAAGGACCCCAGGUCUCUCGGAGUAAACAGAAUAAUAUAGUGUACAUCAUUAAGUGCCAGGAGGACUGCUGUUUAUCAUGCAUCAGGGAAACCAAACAACCUCUCGCUAAACACACAGAAGACCUGCUUCCUUGGGGUGGGACUCUGCAGUCUAUUGAACCUGCAGGCCAGUGGCCAAUCUUUCAAUUAUGAGGAAGUGCACAUCCUGGGCAGGGAGCAACACUGGUUAGAGCGAGGAGUCAAGGAAGGCGAACAACCAUAGUACAUCUGUCACCUUCUUACAGUGCCGUGAUUGCAGCCACUCCCAAGCUGACUAGCGACGACAUCAUCUUCAUCAGGACCCGCGUCUAUCUGCAUGAGAAUCCCUGAGGAAACACGACAGCUUUGACUCUACUGAAUUCAUCAACAGUAAAUGUUGAUAUUGAACAUGUGUCAUGUGUCCAGUCCAGUCACCCAGAAGCUGGUUGAUGAUUCCCUGAUCACAGAGGUCCUGGUUUACAGACUCUUCACCCAGAGAAGUCACCGAUCUCAGCACUCUGAUACAGUGCCGCGUCUGUGCCUUCUUACCGCCUCUGCCUCCGGUGGCGUGGAAGCUGUGACCCUGGCCAAGUCCAGCAGGAGUAGCAGACAGGUACUCCCCUCACAGGAAAUGUACUCCUCCAACAUGAGCGGCCCGAUGGUGGCGAGGGUGGCCAGCGCCUGCAGCUGGAGCUCCUCCUUUUGCGCAGCGGACCA